UCUAGGCUCCUGGGUUCUCUGAGUUGGUGCAGUGGCCACAGAGAAAUUCCUGUUCCUAGCUGGUCCAUUAGAAUGCUGUUGCCUGAGUGCUUCUAGGACGCCAACUCCCCUUGCCUGACACCUGGAGAACUCUCCUCCACCAGUCAACAGUAUGACUUGUAAAUCCUUUCUCCAGG
rnacentral:lncRNA from 1 species